rnacentral:rRNA from 1 species
AGUCACUGACAUUAGAUACCCCCGUAGUCCAGGGUGUAAACGCUGCAGACUUGGUGUUGGAGGCCCUUUGGGGGCAUUCAGUGCCGGAGAGAAGUUGUUAAGUCUGCUACUUGGGGAGUACGUCCGCAAGGAUGAAACUUAAAGGAAUUGGCGGGGGAGCACCGCAACGGGAGGAGCGUGCGGUUUAAUUGGAUUCAACACCGUAAAACUCACCAGGGAAGACUGUUACAUGAAGGCCGAGAUGAAGACUCUGCUAGAUUUUCAG